AUGAAUAUUUGAAAACAGAAAUCUCAGAUGUCGAAUAGCCUAGGGAUGCAUUUGUACUUCAAAAAGGAAUUUUUGCAAAUUACAGGCAGUUUUAAAGAAAGGGGUGCCCGUUACACACUUCUAAUGUUAUCCCCGG
rnacentral:lncRNA from 1 species